CCUCAAAGCAAAAGAAGCUCCCUUAUAAAAAGGGCGCCUUUUGCUUUGUUCCUUGCCCUAUUUUGGUUCCUUGUGUUCCCCUUAGUGCUAUUUGGUUCUCCUUGCGAUUUAUAUUGUUAUUUCUGUGUUUUGACUCAGUUUGGCUUUAGACUUCUCUGUUCCCCUGACUCUGUUUCUAUUUUUACUCUCUGAUUUCUGGUGUCCUGACCCGGCUAUUCUUGUAUCGUUUUCCUGAUUUCCGAUAUCCUGAUUUUUGGCAAUCCCUUGACUAAUCUUUUCUACCUACGUUAAAAG